AUUGAACGCUGGCGGCAUGCCUUACACAUGCAAGUCGAACGGUAACGCGGGGCAACCUGGCGACGAGUGGCGAACGGGUGAGUAAUGUAUCGGAACGUGCCCAGUUGUGGGGGAUAACUGCUCGAAAGAGCAGCUAAUACCGCAUACGACCUGAGGGUGAAAGCGGGGGAUCGCAAGACCUCGCGCAAUUGGUGCGGCCGAUAUCAGAUUAGGUAGUUGGUGGGGUAAAGGCCUACCAAGCCUACGAUCUGUAGGUGGUCUGAGAGGACGACCCACCACACUGGGACAGAGACACGGCCCAGACUCCUACGGGAGGCAGCAGUGGGGAAUUUUGGACAAUGGGGGAAACCCUGAUCCAGCCAUGCCGCGUGCGGGAAGAAGGCCUUCGGGUUGUAAACCGCUUUUGUCAGGGAAGAAAUCCUUUGAACUAAUACUUCGGAGGGAUGACGGUACCUGAAGAAUAAGCACCGGCUAACUACGUGCCAGCCGCCGCGGUAA
rnacentral:rRNA from 1 species